CAUUAGCAAAAGCAAAAGAAAUAGUGCUAAAAGCAGUUUCUAUGGGACAAGGACAAGAAAUUGUUGCUCGUAAAAUGAUAUCUGAUUCAAUGAAUGAAGGAGGUUGGGUUUUGUUACAAAAUAUUCACCUAUCACUACCGUUUUGCGUAGAGGCUAUGGAUGCUCUAAUAGAAACUGAACACAUACAGGAAUCAUUUCGUUUAUGGUUAACAACUGAAGUCCAUAGUGAUUUUCCCAUAGGACUAUUACAAAUGGCUAUUAAAUUUACGAAUGAACCUC
rnacentral:misc_RNA from 1 species